GACGAACGCUGGCGGCGUGCUUAACACAUGCAAGUCGAACGGAGUGGCGAACGGGUGAGUAACACGUGAGUAACCUGCCCUUGACUUUGGGAUAACUUCAGGAAACUGGGGCUAAUACCGGAUAGUUGGGGAUGGACUCGCGGCUUAUCAGCUUGUUGGUGGGGUAGUGGCUUACCAAGGCUUUGACGGGUAGCCGGCCUGAGAGGGUGACCGGCCACAUUGGGACUGAGAUACGGCCCAGACUCCUACGGGAGGCAGCAGUGGGGAAUAUUGCACAAUGGGCGGAAGCCUGAUGCAGCAACGCCGCGUGCGGGAUGACGGCCUUCGGGUUGUAAAGUACUUUUGGCAGAAAAACGGUAUCUGCAGAAUAAGCACCGGCUAACUACGUGCCAGCAGCCGCGGUAAUUC
rnacentral:rRNA from 1 species